AAUGAAGUGCCUGACUAAAGGAUUAUCUUGAUAGGGUAAAACAAGUAAAAUUUACUUUUACCUUCAUUA
rnacentral:tRNA from 1 species